rnacentral:rRNA from 1 species
AAUCUUAAAUUUAUUGUGUGAUUGAAGAUGAAGUAAUUGAAGUAACUUUAAAUUAGUUGUUUUAGUAUAGAAAUAGAAUCAAUUGAGUUUUUUAUAGUAGAUUAGUAUUGUGAAAGAUAGAUGAAACAUUUGAAAAUGAAUUUUUAAGUAAGUAGAUUGAUAUUGUACCUUGUGUAUCAGGGUUUAUUAAAAUUAAAAUAAAGAUAGUAUAUUUCCCGAAUUAAAAAGAGCUAAUUCACUAUAGUGGUUAAUGUAUCAUUAUUAUCAAUAAUAGUGAAUUUGUAAUGAAAUGUUAGUCGAUUUUUAAGAUAUCUGGUUCUCCGAGAGAUGAAUUUAAUUCAGCAUCUGUUAGUAAUCAUUGUAUUAGUUCGUUGAUUAUAGAUCGGAUGUAAUAUUUUAAGGGAUAAGCUUUAGAAUAGACAUUUAUAAUUGUUAUAAUAUUGUAUUUAAAAUUGUAGGCUUUAAAUUAGCUAUCAUAUUAAUAGUGUUAUAAAUUAUUUUAUUUUAAUAUAAUUUUAUUAAUAAUAUUAAAUAUCGUAUCGGAGUGGAUUAAUUAACUUGAAUUUAAUUGUAAUAAUGAUAAAAUUAGUAUAUUUGAAUGUGGGAUAUAAAAUUAAUUAAUGUAAAUUUAUAUUAAGGAACUAGGCAAAUUUAAUGUUCGCCUGUUUAUCAAAAACAUGUCCUUUAGAGUUAAUUUGAGGUCGGGCCUGCCCCCUGAUAUAAAUUAAAGGGCCGCGGUAUUUUGACUGUGCAAAGGUAGCAUAAUCAUUAGUCUUUUAAUUGAAGGCUGGAAUGAAUGGUUUGACGAAACAUUAACUGUCUCUGUAUAAUUAGUAGAAUUUAACUUCUGAGUCAAAAGGCUUAGAUGAAUAUAAAAGACGAGAAGACCCUAUAGAUCUUUAUAUAAAAGUGGUUUUAUUUUGUUUAGGGGGUUUGUUAAUAAAAUUGUAUUUAUAUUGUGUUGGGGUGACUGAAGAUAUAAUAAACUCUUUAUAACUAUAACAUUGGUUUAUGGAUUAUUGAUCCACUACUAGUGAUUACAAGAUAAAGUUACCUUAGGGAUAACAGCGUAAUUUUUUUUGAAAGUUCUUAUCGACAAAAAAAAUUGCGACCUCAUGUGGGUUAAAGGAAUAUGAUUAGGUGCAAAGCUUAUUAAUAAGUCUGUUCGACUUUUUUAAAUCCUUACAUGAUCUGAGUUCAGACCGGCGUGAGCCAGGUCGGUUUCUAUCUUUAUAGUAAUAGGGUAUUUUAGUACGAAAGGACCAAGUACUUGAAAUAAUUUUUAUACAUGAUAAAAGUUAAUACUAC